rnacentral:rRNA from 1 species
AGCGAGCGCUGGCGGCAGGCUUAACACAUGCAAGUCGAGCGGGCACUUCGGUGUCAGCGGCAGACGGGUGAGUAACACGUGGGAACGUACCCUUUGGUUCGGAAUAACGCUGGGAAACUAGCGCUAAUACCGGAUACGCCCUUUUGGGGAAAGGCUUGCUGCCGAAGGAUCGGCCCGCGUCUGAUUAGCUAGUUGGUGGGGUAAUGGCCUACCAAGGCGACGAUCAGUAGCUGGUCUGAGAGGAUGAUCAGCCACACUGGGACUGAGACACGGCCCAGACUCCUACGGGAGGCAGCAGUGGGGAAUAUUGGACAAUGGGCGCAAGCCUGAUCCAGCCAUGCCGCGUGAGUGAUGAAGGCCUUAGGGUUGUAAAGCUCUUUUGUCCGGGACGAUAAUGACGGUACCGGAAGAAUAAGCCCCGGCUAACUUCGUG